GACGAACGCUGGCGGUGUGCUUAAUACAUGCAAGUCGAACGGAAAGGCCCUGCUUUUGCGGGGUGCUCGAGUGGCGAACGGGUGAGAAACACGUGAGUAACCUGCCCUUGACUUUGUGAUAACUCCAGGACACUGGGGCUAAUACCGGAUAGGAGAUCAUGCUGCAUGGUGGCGGUUAGAAAGGUCAGGAUGUUAGGGCAGGACUGGCGACUUACAAGCUUGUUGGUGGAGUAGUGGCUUACCAAGUAUAUGAUUGGCAGCGUGCCUGAAAGGGUGACCAACCACGAUAGGACUGAGUUACGGCCCAGACUCCUACAGGAGGCAACAGUGGGGAAUAUUACGCAGUGGGCGGAAGCCUUAUGCAACAACGCCACGAGCGGGAUGACGGCCUACGGGUUGUCAGCCUAUUUCGCCUGAAACGAAGCUUGAGUGACGGUAAUGGAUAAAGAAGCACCGGCUAACUACGUG
rnacentral:rRNA from 1 species